rnacentral:rRNA from 1 species
UCUAGCCUACGGGAGGCAGCAGUGGGGAAUAUUGGACAAUGGGGGAAACCCUGAUCCAGCGACGCCGCGUGAGUGAAGAAGUAUUUCGGUACGUAAAGCUCUAUCAGCAGGAAAGAAAAUGACGGUACCUGACUAAGAAGCCCCGGCUAACUACGUGCCAGCAGCCGCGGUAAUACGUAGGGGGCAAGCGUUAUCCGGAUUUACUGGGUGUAAAGGGAGCGUAGACGGCUGGCCAAGUCUGAAGUGAAAGCCCGGGGCUUAACCCCGGAACGGCUUUGGAAACUGGCCGGCUGGAGUGCUGGAGG